AUAACAGUGAGAUCAUAACAGCCCCCCCACAAGCAGCUGACUCAAAAGAAUGGAAACAGUUUGGGAGUGCUGGAAUUGAUUUGGAUCUCCUUAAGACCCAUAACAUUAUAGGUGCCUGAAGUGGGCAGACUUCCAUGUCCACCAACAAAGACUGGGCACCAGAAGGUCGAGAGGCACUUCCGGAAUCCCAUUCCUUUUUGACAAGCCUGACCAGUUCAUAUCUCUUUGCAUGGACAAUCACCAACGCUAUCGAUCAUUCAGACUUGGAAUUAAGAUCUAAAAGCACCUUGAAAGUCCCUUCAUCGACCCCAGAGAGAGUCUUAAAAUUGGCCGCUUUGAUGGCCUUAACCAAGGCAGGAUCAACC
rnacentral:lncRNA from 1 species